UUUUUUUUUUUUUUUGUCUUUUUGCCAUUUCUUGGGCCGCUCCUGCGGCAUAUGGAGUUUCCCAGGCUAGGGGUCUAAUCGGAGCUGUAGCUGCCAGCCUAUGCCAGAGCCACAGCAAUGCGGGAUCCGAGCCGCGUCUGCAACCUACACCACAGCUCACGGCAACGCCGGAUCGUUAACCCACUGAGCAAGGGCAGGGAUCAAACCCACAACCUCAUGGUUCCCAGUCGGAUUCGUUAGCCACUGUGCAACGACGGGAACUCCUCUGAUUAUUUCUUUAGGAUGGUUACCCAGAAGAAUCAACACAGGCCACAGGGAAUUAUCACCUAGAGGGAACACACACACUACAAUUUUUUUUCCCAAAGAGUUGCACCAGAUAACACAUCUAUGAGCAAUGCAUCCUUUUUGUUUCUAUUAUUGAGUCAACCCUUAAAACCCCACCUUAGCAAGCUCCUGUCUAGAACCCUUUCCAUGAAAUUGGUUUCACCCUCCUCAGUGUCUAUACUGAUCUAACAAAGACCAGAUGGAGGAAAGGAAGAAAAAUAAAAGAGGGAAGGAAGGAGGGGGGAAAGGAAAAGGGGAGAGGGAAGGAAGGAAAGGAGAAAGGGAAGAAAAGCAGAUGGAAAGGGAAAAAGGGUAGAAGACAGGCAUACAGGAAGGCCAGAUUUUAUAAAGGAACCUGAAUCCGUAAAGCUUUCCCAGCCCAAAGGAUAGCUUUUUACACAAGUUUAUUCUUCUCACUCUCCUUCUGAUUCAUGGCUAGGGACUGACUUACACGUAAAGUGGGUUCCAAAUCUUCUUCCGAAACAGCGUAUGAAAAUAGAAAUAGAUUUUAAAUUAGCCCUCUUUCUUUUUGCCAGGCUUCAUGAAUUUUCACACAUCAUCUUACUUGAUUCUCCUAGUGGCCUAUUGGUUAAGGACCCGGCAUUGUCACUGCUGUGGCUCAGGUUGCUGUUUGAUGCAGGUUCAUUCCCUGGCUGGGGAACUUCUGGGGAACUUCUACAUGCUGUGGGCAGUGGCCGAAAAAAAAAAAAAAAAAAAAAGGUUUUCCAAUGAAUCGUUGUGAAGUAAAUAUUAUUAUUCUAAAUCUACAAAUGAAAAAUAAACUCAGAGAGGUUAAGUGGCUUCUCCUAUGUCAACUAGUAAAUGACAAGGCCAAGUCUCUGUGUCAAAGUUUGUGACUCCAGGUUUACUUUGCUCCAAGGUGUCUGUUGCUUCUUGAUUUCUCCUCACUUAUCUGAUUUCUCUCACCAGCAUUGCCCUGGCAUUCUUGGAUUUUUGCCUGGGCUUUGCUCCUUUAGUCUGGGCUUCCUGCCUAAUUCCUUCAAACUGCUACUGCCCACAUCUCAACCUGUCCAUUUGCCAACUUUGUAUUACUGAAUAAUGUGUUCAUUUAAGAAAACUUUCUUUUGGUGUGUUUUAGACAAGGAGAGACUGUAUUAGACUCUCUAGUGGAGGCAUUUCCCCUUAAAUGUUAUCACUGGCUUCCUGUCCAUGUAAAGGUUUUACCUGUUCCUCAACCGGUGUCAUCUCUUGGGCACCUCCAUCAUCAGGCUGGGUAUAAGAGGGUACCUCCAUCACCAUGCUGGGCACAGGAGGGUGGUUGAUCUUCCUGUAAAUCCCCACAUUGAUACAGUGGCUACUCCACUGUGCAAAAACUGCUCAUUGUCCACUAACUUCAAGCCUCAUCUUCCCAGACACACAGAUUAUAUUUCCCAUAUGAUUGUGUUCUGGCAAUUAAAUGGGAGUGAAAGCACGUGCCAUUUCCAGUCCUGGAAAUGUCUUCCCUGUGCGAUCAAUCUUUCACAAUCAUUUCCUCUCACUGGCUUGAAGCAGUUUUGAAGCCACAUAUUAAGGGUGGUAGAGGCACAGAUAGAGAAAACGUGGAUUCCUGAAUAAUGGCUUGAAUGACAGCCCUAUAUUCCCAUUUGGGAAUUCACAGGAGCAAGUAAUAAACUUCUUAUUUGUCCCAUUGUGUAUUUGGCGGUUUCGGUUUCACCAGUUAACCUACUCUUGAUAGUAUAGCCAGGAACAUCUCUGCAUAGGAACAGUGCUAAAUAGUAAUUCCUGCUGUGGGGGAAGUGUAUUAAGGAUCCAACUGCAGCAGCUCAGGUUGCUAGAGAGACACAGGUUCGAUCUUUGUCCUGGCACAGUGGGUUAAAAGAUCAGGUGUUGGAGCAGCUGCAGUGUAGGUUGCAGUUGCACUUCAGAUUCAGUCCCUGGCCCGGGAACUUUCAUAUGCUGCAGGUGUGGCCAUUGAAAAAAAAAAAAAAGAAGAAGAACAAUGACAAAUAAUGAGCACUUCCCAUUAGGUAGGACUGCAGAGGCAGGAGGGCCCUGUUCCCUCUGCCAGGAGUGGAAUGCCAUGAGCCUGACAGCUCAUUCUUUAGGCUGCUGACAAUGUGAUGAAGGAUUAAUGAAGAGGUCUUGAGGACCUAUGAGAUAUGUGUAGGACUUAUGAUGGUGUGAGAAGCAUAAAAAGAAAUUACCUCCAGUGUUUAAAUCCAGUAGAUUAGAAGAUUUGGGGGGGGUCCAUAAACAGAAACCAGGAAGUCAGAGGUUGGUGUUUGUUGAGAGAGGAGGUCAAUGGGCUUCACUAUGGUGGUGUCGAUCUUAAGGCCUGGUGCCGCUCAUUUCAGCUGCAUUGUGUUGUAAUGUCCAUGCACUGUUUUCUGUCCUUCACCAACAUUGCCACACCUGACUGUAUUAUCACACCAUUAAGUGAUCCUACAUGCAUUUCUAAGCAUGCACAUCUUUUGGAGAUGCCUUUCCAGAAAUUGAAUUUACAAAAAAUAAAUAAAUGAAUAAAGAGCACAGUAUAAUUUAUCCCUAUUUUAUUCAUCCUGUCCUGUUUUUAAAAAUCAAAGCAGUCCAGAUUUCCCAUUGUGGCUCAGUGGAAACAAAUCCGACUAGCAUCCAUGAGGACUCAGAUUAAAUCCCUGGCCUUGUUCAGUGGCUUAAGGAUCUGGCGUUGCUGUGAGCUAUGGUGUAAGUAGCAGAUGCGGCUCAGAUCUGGUGUGGCUGUGGAUGUGGCUGUGGCAUAGGCCAGCAGCUACAGCCCUGGUUUGACUCAUAGCCUAGGAACUUCUAUGUGCUGCGGGUGCAGCCCUAAAAAGACAAAAAAAAAAAAAAAAAAAUUCCGAAAGGCUUGAAUUGUGUAUCUUCCUGGUUUGUGGACUGAAAUAUAGUCUAUAUCAUUUCUUCUAUCUUGGUUGCACUAGAAUACAUUUCAAGGUUGAUUUGUUUCUCCAUUUCAUCUGCCCUACUGAAAACAACCAUGAACAUUUUUGCAUGGCAGUAUUGCUGAUAUAAGAACACUUAACAGGAAUUCCCACUGUGGCUCAGAGGUUAAGAACACAACUAGUAUCCACGAGGAUCUGGGUUCGAGCCCUGGCCUUGCUCCAUGUGUUAAGGAUCCCACAUGGCUGCAAGCUGCAGCGUAGGUUGCAGACGUGGCUCAGAUGUGGUAGUAUUGUGGCUGUGGAGCAGGCCAGCAGCUGCAGCUCUCAUUUAACCCCUAGCCUUGGAACUUCCUACAUGCUGCAGGUGCAGCCCUAGAAAGAAAAGAAAAGAAAAAAAAACACUUAACAGAUUGAAACUGACAAUUAAGAGAUAUUCACUAAAGUAAUCUCACCAUCUCUUUUGCUGAGUCAUGGGAAGAAAUAAACCCUCAUGGCUCCAGAUAAAUGAAAAACUCAUUUAAAAAGUAAUUUUAGGGAUUUCCAUUGUGGUUCAGCAAGUUGAGAACCUGACUAGUAUCCAUGAGGAUGCGGGUUCAAUCCCUGGCCUUGCUCAGUGGGUUAAGGAUCUGGCAGUGCCACAAGGUGUGGUGUAGGUCACAGAUGUGGCUGGGAUCCCUCGUUGCUAUGGCUGUUGUGCAGGCUGGCAGCUGUGGUUCCAAUUCCACCUCUAGCCUGGGAACUUGCAUAUGCCACGAAUGUGGCCCUAAAAAAGACAAGGGGAAAAAAAAGUAAUUUUAGUUUCUUAAAUUAGAGCUCUAAAUUUUCCAGAGACAUCCCAACUCUGAGCUUCUUAUCUCCAGCAGUCUUUAUUUUGAUCCUUUUCAGUCAUCGCAUUCCCGGAGUCACACCCUUAGCCACCAUUACCUGAAACACCUUCUCAUCCCACUCUAUUCUCAGCCUUCAUCUUUCCUAAAUAUCUCACUCUGUUGCUCCUGAUACAUUUGAUCUCUGAAUUCGCUUCAUUUCCACUGUUCUGACCAUCCCUAUUUUUCUCACAGGUUAUGAUGUGCUCUGCCACCCCAGCCCUAGUCACCUCCCUGUCCAAAUGCCUUCUAACCCAGUCUAGACUUUAUGGCACAUCAUUUCAACAAAUUUCUUGUCAGAAUAAAUCACCUUUGCUCCAACCCUGCUAAUUGAAGAUCUUUCUCAAAACUAUUGUUUGUCGUCUAUGCUCCUCUGCCCAGACUCCUGGCAACUAAUGCACAAUAUCUUGGUAGAAAUACACUGCCUCGCCCCUCAGUGGACCUCCCUGGGUCAAUGAGCUUUGCUUAGCUGUCUUUUCAUUCCCUUCGGUGGCUGUCCCUAACCCCCACUAUUCUCUCCAGAUGUCAUAUCCCAUCCCUAAUCUCUUCCCUCUCAGCAGACAUUUUCUCACAGUUCACAGGGAGAUAAAAGGAUGUCUAUCAGGAACAGUCUUUCUUACCCUCCAUUCCCCACAGAGAUAUACUUAUCUGUAACUCUGUCAUCUUUUCUUCAUUUCCUAGAGAAAGACAUUUCUACUUAAGGCUUGUCCCUCAAUCUGUUCCUUGGAUCCUAUCUGCUCUCAAUUACUCAAAAUCUUUAUACUCUCAAUUAUCUCUUCUCUUUCCUGCAUCACAACCUCCUCUCAAUUGGAUACUUCCUUUAAACACCAUACUAAAAAUGUUCACAUUUUCUACCUUAAUAAAAAGCCUACCCUUGACCCAUUUUGACUCCUCCCUUCCUAAAAGAUUGUAUAUGCUUCCUGUCUACACAUCUUCCUUUGCAUCCCUCAACCUUUUGCACUUUGCUUCUACAUCAACUACACUAUUGUUUUACACUAAAUUAUUCUUGCUAAGAUCAGUUCAAUAACCUCCAGGUUUCUAAAUGUAAAGGCCAGAUCUUAUUUGUCCUCCCUGUAGUAUUUAAUGCUCCUGGCCAACUCCAUCCUCUUUUAGUGCUCUCUCCUGGAUUCUAGAAUAACAUUCUCUUGUUACACCUCUCACCUUUCUAAUCAGUCUUUUUCAGUCAGCUUCCUGGACUCUUCUUCCUAUUCACAUUUUUAAGAGUUCAAAAAAGAGAGAGAGAGAAUUCUAUGUUUAGUCCAUCCCUUCUUAUACUCUUAGUGAAUUACUCAGUCACAGAUCUUAAUUCUACUACAACUGCUUCAGCUCAGGUAAUUCCAACAUAAUCCUGGAUUUGGGAACACCUGACUGGUAGGAUAAUGUCCAUACUGACUCCUCAACACAACUCCAAGCUCCUUCAUGACCUGGCCAUCCUCCAGCAUACUCCUACCUCUCCUCUCUUUAUGCCCUAAGCUCUAGCAAACAAACAAAAAAAGGUAAACGGAAAUAACUACUGUUUACUGAGCACUUAACCGUAUACAGUAUAGUUGAGUGGUUAAGAGUGCAAACAUGGAAAACAGAAAGUCUAAGUUCAAGUUCGGAUCUGGCACUUGGUAGCAAUGGAACCAUGAGUUGAUGAAAAAGAUCUGUUGUGCCUCAGCUCUCUCAUUUGUAAAGUGGAAAUUAUAGAGUAUAGUGACUAUCUAUAAAGUGAUAAAAACUGUGACUGGCAUGUAGUUAAGUGUUAAAAAAAUGUUAGUGACCAUGUAGGUCAUAAUGCCAGGUAGUUUGCCAACAAUGGCUUGUCCAAGGACUGAAUGAGGUUAUGGAUAUCACCUCCCCUAGGCACAGGUCAGAAAUUUAACUUUUACCAGCAACCCUUGAAGAUAGGCAUGUGGUAAAGACAACAUGCAAGACUUUGAUUCCAAAGAAAGCAAUGUGAAAACAAAGGCACCAUGUAGAAUUCAUUUUUGAAGAGUGUGGAGAGUGGAAGGCUCUUGGUUUUAGACAGUGAAGGACUUGUGUUUAAUGUCCAGUGUCACCCAGUGCAUAGCGUGGUGUCUGUGCCCGGAGGUGGCGAUGGGGUCUUUACUGGAGCAGUGCUGCUGUAUAUUAUGACCAUUUUACCUGGCUGAUGACCAAUUCCACAGCUCUCCCAAAGACUGUAGACUUUCCAGAGAAAUCUUUAGUGACUUGUUCUCUUGCUUAAACUAAGUACAGUAGAUUUAUUGUUGGCAGCUCAUAACCCCAGCUGAUAUUUCACUAUUAAGUAAUAGGUAUAUCAGUCUAUUUUCAUUUUUAAAUGGUUUCUGUUAUCUGUAAACAAACAAAAUGCCACAACAAAAGUUGCCUGAUGGCUCUGACCUCUGGUCUGUAUCUCUGGUGACUGGAACUCUGCCACGUCUCUUCCCCAGAUGCUCUGGCCAGGUGGCUGCAGGUUAUUCCUGUCAAUGGGAGGUGCUGGAAGGAGAUGUGAGGUGGCAGAAAGGGAUCAGCCACUUCUCUUUGCCUUUUCUGCUUCUGGCAAUGUCCCAUGCAGUAGCAACAGCUGUAAGUGUUUGUGGGCUCCAUGCUCCCUGCUCUGAAAGCCUGGUUUCAGAAGUGACAGCAGCAGUGUGAACACUGACCACCCUUAGAUCUGGUUCCUAAGGAAGCUGUGGUAGGGCAGAUGACUGCCGGCUCCUAGGCUCCUGAUUUGCUACAGGGUAGUGAGUGGUGCAGUCCCGAUGGCCCCACAGUAUCAGUGGUUGCUCUACUACCUAACUACAGGGAGUGUGGGCUCCGGUAACAGCAUUUCCCCUCUACUUUCAGGCUCAAUGUGGAAGGGACUUCAUGUUUAUCAUGAAUCCACAGAUAACUGUACCAUUUUCUUUGGGCAUCUCCAGGCUUUCCA
ensembl:lncRNA